UGACAGAUGACCGAGCUAACAGACAUUUGUCAAGUGUUCUUAAAAAAACAUCACAAAAGUUACGAAUUUAAUAUCUAAAUGUUUCGCCACUUCAUUUUUUUUACUAGAAAUAUCUCUUUACAUUUAUUCAAACGUUCUACAAGAGCAAGACGACAGAAGAACGAGGAGGUUGACGACAGCGUUGCAUUGUGAAGACGCGGCCUCGGGUAUCGACGGAGAAAUGAUCCAAACAAGAAAAACGCCAUGAUGGUCAUGGAGGAUACGGGUGAUGAUAACCAUAGACCAGGCAACAUUACUCCCUCCUGUUACCUUCCCUUUAAAGGU